rnacentral:rRNA from 1 species
AGGACGAACGCUGGCGGCGUGCUUAACACAUGCAAGUCGAGCGGAAAGGCCCUUCGGGGUACUCGAGCGGCGAACGGGUGAGUAACACGUGAGGAACCUGCCCUGGACUUUGGGAUAACCCUCGGAAACGGGGGCUAAUACCGAAUAUGACUUCCCCUCGCAUGGGGGGUGGUGGAAAGUUUUUCGGUCUGGGAUGGUCUCGCGGCCUAUCAGCUUGUUGGUGGGGUAAUGGCCUACCAAGGCGACGACGGGUAGCC